GACGAACGCUGGCGGCGUGCUUAACACAUGCAAGUCGAACGGAAAGGCCCUGCUUUUGUGGGGUGCUCGAGUGGCGAACGGGUGAGUAACACGUGAGUAACCUGCCCUUGACUUUGGGAUAACUCCAGGAAACUGGGGCUAAUACCGGAUAGGAGCUCCUGCUGCAUGGUGGGGGUUGGAAGGUUUCGGCGGUUGGGGAUGGACUCGCGGCUUAUCAGCUUGUUGGUGGGGUAGUGGCUUACCAAGGCUUUGACGGGUAGCCGGCCUGAGCGGGUGACCGGCCACACUGGGACUGAGAUGCGGCCCAGACUCCUACGGGAGGCAGCAGUGGGGAAUAUUGCACAAUGGGAGGAACCAUGAUGCAGCCAAGCCGCGUGGGGGAUGACAGCAAUCGGGUUGUAAACCGCUUUCGCCUGUGACGAAGCGUGAGUGACGGUAAUGGGUAAAGAAGCACCGGCUAACUACGUG
rnacentral:rRNA from 1 species